rnacentral:tmRNA from 1 species
GGGGGUGAACGGUUUCGACAACAGUGAAUCGCGUUAGGUGAAGCGGGCCGAGGUUCAAGGCAGAACUCGUAAACCAUGUCUUGAAAAAACAAGUGCAAAUAAAUCUCGCACUGACUUUGCUCUAGCUGCUUAAAGUAGCUAAGCCAUAAAGUCCGUCAGCUCAGAAGUUCCUUCGAUCUGAGAUCUGGCGUCGAAAGAAGGAUCACCAAUUAGUCGGGUUACGAGAUUAAUCGGGAAAUCAAACAGUAACUUUGACCGUGUUGCUAGCAAGGCCACGAGUAACUAGCAGGUCAAGAACACGCAAUUGUGGAUGCGCCCGGAGAAGACCUAGGACGACGCUGCUGGACGCGGGUUCAAAUCCCGCCACCUCCACCG